rnacentral:rRNA from 1 species
UACGUAGGGGGCUAUCGUUAUCUGGAAUUACUGGGCGUAAAGGGUGCGUAGGUGGUUUCUUAAGUCAGAGGUGAAAGGCUACGGCUCAACCGUAGUAAGCCUUUGAAACUGGGAAACUUGAGUGCAGGAGAGGAGAGUGGAAUUCCUAGUGUAGCGGUGAAAUGCGUAGAUAUUAGGAGGAACACCAGUUGCGAAGGCGGCUCUCUGGACUGUAACUGACACUGAGGCACGAAAGCGUGGGGAGCAAACAGGAUUAGAUACCCGUGUAGUCCCUGA